GACGAACGCUGGCGGCGUGCUUAACACAUGCAAGUCGAACGGAAAGGCCCUGCUUUUGUGUGGUGCUCGAUUGCCGAACGGGUGAGUAACACGUGAGAAACCUGCCCUUGACUUUGGGAUAACUUCAGGAAACUGGGGCUAAUACCGGAUAGGAGCUCCUGCUGCAUGGUGGGGGUUGGAAAGUUUCGGCGGUUGGGGCUGGACUCGCGGCUUAUCAGCUUGUUGGUGUGGUAGUGGCUUACCAAGGGUUUGACGGGUAGCCGGCCUGAGAGGGUGACCGGCCACAAUGGGACUGAGAGACGGCCCAGACUCCUACGGGAGGCAGCAGUGGGGAAUAUUGCACAAUGGGCGGAAGCCUGAGACAGCAACGCCGCGUGCGGGAUGCCGGCCUUCGGGUUGUAAACCGCUUUCGACUGUGCCGAAGCGUGAGUGACGGUAAUGGGUAAAGAAGCACCGGCUAACUACGUG
rnacentral:rRNA from 1 species